rnacentral:misc_RNA from 1 species
UACAGAGGGUGCAAGCGUUAUUCGGAAUUACUGGGCGUAAAGCGCACGCAGGCGGUCUGUCAAGUCGACUGUGAAAUCCCCGGGCUCAACCUGGGAACUGCAUCCGAAACUGGCAGGAUAGAGGCUUGUAGAGGGGGGUAGAAUUCAAGGUGUAGCGGUGAAAUGCGUAGAGAACUGGAGGAAUACCGGUGGCGAAGGAGGCCCCCUGGACAAAGACUGACGCUCAGGUGCGAAAGCGUGGGGAGCAAACAGG